rnacentral:rRNA from 2 species
UGCACUAUGGAAACACCCGUUCCCAUCCCGAACACGGAAGUGAAACAUAGUAGCAGCGAAGAUACUUGGUGGGUAACCGCCCGGGAAA